rnacentral:sRNA from 1 species
UGUAAACGAAAAAACUCUUUUUGGUUGC